rnacentral:rRNA from 1 species
GUGCACGCUGGCGGUAGGCCUAACACAUGCAAGUCGAACGGCAGCACAGUAAGAGCUUGCUCUUACGGGUGGCGAGUGGCGGACGGGUGAGGAAUACAUCGGAAUCUACUUUUUCGUGGGGGAUUACGUAGGGAAACUUACGCUAAUACCGCAUACGACCUACGGGUGAAAGCAGGGGAUCUUCGGACCUUGCGCGAUUGAAUGAGCCGAUGUCGGAUUAGCUAGUUGGCGGGGUAAAGGCCCACCAAGGCGACGAUCCGUAGCUGGUCUGAGAGGAUGAUCAGCCACACUGGAACUGAGACACGGUCCAGACUCCUACGGGGGGCAGCAGUGGGGAAUAUUGGACAAUGGGCGCAAGCCUGAUCCAGCCAUACCGCGUGGGUGAAGAAGGCCUUCGGGUUGUAAAGCCCUUUUGUUGGGAAAGAAAAGCAGCAGGUUAAUACCCCGCUGUUCUGACGGUACCCAAAGAAUAAGCACCGGCUAACUUCGUG